rnacentral:rRNA from 1 species
AUUGAACGCUGGCGGCAGGCGUAACACAUGCAAGUCGAGCGGAGCGGCGGAAGGGUGAGUAAUGACUAGGAAGCUGCCUGGUUGUGGGGGAUAACGUCCGGAAACGGGUGCUAAUACCGCAGACUAUCAGCUGAGUCUAGGUAGGAUUAGCUGUUUGGUGGGGUAAAGGCUUACCAAGGCGACGAUCCGUAACUGGGCUGAGAGGAUGAUACGUCACACUGGAACUGAGACACGGUCCAGCCUCCUACGGGAGGCAGCAGUGGGGAAUAUGGGACAAUGGUCGAAAGCCUGAUCCAGCCAUGCCGCGUGUGUGAAGAAGGUCUUCGGAUUGUAAAGCACUUUAAGUUGGGAGGCGUUACCAACAGAAUAAGCACCGGCUAACUUCGUGCCAGCAGCCGCGGUAAUUC